AAUGAACGUUGGCGGCGUGGAUUAGGCAUGCAAGUCGUGCGCGAAACGUAGCAAUACGUGGAGAGCGGCGAAAGGGAGAGUAAUGCAUGGUUAGCUACCCUCGGGACUGGGAUAGCGGCGGGAAACUGCCGGUAAUACCAGAUGACAUCUUCGGAUCAAACGUGUAAAUCGGCCCGAGGAGGUGACCAUGUCCUAUCAGCUAGUUGGCAGGGUAACGGCCUACCGAGGCUAAGACGGGUAUGGGGCGUGAGAGCGUGCCCCCACUCACUGGGACUGAGAACUGCCCAGACACCUACGGGUGGCUGCAGUCGAGAAUCUUCGGCAAUGGGCGCAAGCCUGACCGAGCGACGCCGCGUGCGGGAUGAAGGCC
rnacentral:rRNA from 1 species